UACGUAGGUGGCAAGCGUUGUCCGGAAUUAUUGGGCGUAAAGCGCGUGUAGGCGGCCCCGUAAGUCGGAUGUGAAAUCCCAGGGCUCAACCCUGGAACUGCAUCCGAUACUGCGGGGCUUGAGGUAGGUAGAGGAAGGUGGAAUUUCCGGUGUAGCGGUGGAAUGCGCAGAUAUCGGAAGGAACACCGAUGGCGAAGGCAGCCUUCUGGGCCUCACCUGACGCUGAGACGCGAAAGCAUGGGUAGCAAACAGG
rnacentral:misc_RNA from 1 species